rnacentral:rRNA from 1 species
GCGUGAGUGAUGAAGGCCUUCGGGUCGUAAAACUCUGUCCUCAAGGAAGAUAAUGACGGUACUUGAGGAGGAAGCACCGGCUAACUAAGUGCCAGAAGCCGCGGUAAUACGUAGGGGGCUAGCGUUAUCCGGAUGUACGGGGCGGAAAGGGUGCGUAGGCGGUCUUUCAAGUCAGGAGGGAAAGGCUCCGGCUCAACCGUAGUAAGCUCUUGAAACUGGGAGACUUGAGUGCAGGAGAGGAGAGUGGAAUUCCUAGUGUAGCGGUGAAAUGCGUAGAUAUUAGGAGGAACACCAGUUGCGAAGGCGGCUCUCUGGACUGUAACUGACGCUGAGGCACGAAAGCGUGGGGAGCAAACAGGAUUAGAUACCCUGGUAGUCCACGCUGUAAACGAUGAGUACUAGGUGUCGGGGGUUACCCCC